CCUCCCCCCGGGCACCCCUCGCGCGCCCCGGCGGCCGGAACGAGAAGAUCGGGUCGCUCUGACCAGAUCCCGCAGACGAUCGCUCUGAGUUCAAGGGUCUGAAGUCUAGGUUUCAGAUCAGGACAUACAUGCCGCUCCAGAAUCCAGACCUAGGGAGCCUCGGGGAGGUCAAAGCCCAGUGGAGCAGCAGUGUGAAGAGGACGGAGGCUCCAUCUGCCUUGGUCCUUGGGAAUGUCCAGAGCUGAGCACCAGGAAGCACUCAACAAAUGUUUGCCAUCACCGCUGAAGCAGACUGACAUAAGGACGAAGACACGCUCCGGGCCUGAGAGCCUGGUGUUCCUGCCUUUGCUAGCAGCAACGGUGAGAAAGCUGCACGACCAUGUCUCCCAAGCAGGCCCCACCUGCGCCCAGGAUGACACCUCCACCCCUCCCGGUUUACCACAGGCCUUGGCCUCCUUCUCCAAGGCAGUCCUCCGGUCCGCUAAGAAGUGCUGGCCACCAUGGAGACUGGCCAGCCACACCCUCGCUCCACCCAACGUGUCAGGACCUUUAUUUUACCUCAGGAUUUGGCAACCGCAACAAUGUGUGAGGCCCGGAAGAUCGGCGGCCCUGGAAUAACGAACAUCAAGGCUUUCCACAGUUUGCAGUGAAGACAUCAGCUGGGGCACUGGAAGUGUAGCCCAGUGGGACAGCACUCGCCCAGCACGUGUGAGGCUCUGGUCCCCAGAACCACACACUCAGAAAGGGCUCAGCAGGGACCGAAGUCAUCCGAAGUCCGACUACGGCAGGAGGACUGGUUGCUCAGCACCCACCCUGAAGGCUUCUCAGAAUGCAGACGCCUUCUCCAAGACAGCAAGACUAAGACAGAAGCCCGCAGUAGUUUCUGAUCCAAAUCUAAAAAAAAUUGACACAUAAAGACCAUUUAGAAAGCACAGCUAUUUAAGAAUUAUCAGCUGAAGCACUGCACAUGAUGGUGUCUGCUUAUUAUCUCAGCAUUCAGGAGGAUGAGGCAGGAGGAUUGCCAGGAGUUUGAGGCCAGCCUCAGCUACAAGGAAUCGAACUCACGACCUUGCGCUUGCCCGGCAGGCGCUGUGCCGCUGACCUAAAUCCCCAGCCCCCACUGCACACUAUUCUAAGAACCAGUGUCUCAUUGUGUCAGUCAAACCUCAAGCUAUGUUAGCAGGUCGGCACUAUUACCCCCUCCCACCCCGCUGCCUUUCAGAGGAAGAAGUGGAGGUUUCCAGAGGUUCAGCAUCCGGACCACAGCUCCCCUGCUGUUUGCUGAGCAGAGCGCGGCCGAAUGGGCAGCUGGACCACACAGCCCAGCCUCUCCACUACUGCAUUCCAUUCACACAGAAUGACAUAAGCGCAGAAACAGAAGCAGACCACUCUCCUCCCACUCAAAAACUGUAUAGCGUUUCCUUAUUGUAAGCAGAGACAAGAAAGACAAAGAGAAUGCAGAAGAGUCUUUUCUCCCCAGUAAAAUGAGGUCUGAGAAACUUCUACAGAGAUGAGCUGGUAAAAAUAGUCUAAGUGUUGUCUUAGUUACUCUUCUGGUUGCUGAGACAUAGUACUCAACACCCACAAGUUAAGGGAAGACAG